AAAUUUACAGAAAGCCUUGGUCAAGCAGAACAAGCACCAUAGCGCAACUCUAGCUCAGUGACCAUCAAUCCAGCCACUUCUGUCCUCUUUAGACUAGAGAGGCCUCAGUUUUGCCCGUUCAGCAAGGCUUCCAUGGCUCAAAAUAAAAUGAAGCUCUGCCUAAACAGUUUGUCUUCUUUUCAUUUAUUCUGGCCAGAACUACCAAUUUUGUACUAUGAAAAAUUGUGAAGUUCUCACCAGUCUUAGUCAAGAAAAGAACUUAGUUAAG
rnacentral:lncRNA from 1 species